rnacentral:rRNA from 1 species
UGGGGAAUAUUGCACAAUGGGCGCAAGCCUGAUGCAGCCAUGCCGCGUGUGUGAAGAAGGCCUUCGGGUUGUAAAGCACUUUCAGCGAGGAGGAAGGGUUCAGUGUUAAUAGCACUGUUCAUUGACGUUACUCGCAGAAGAAGCACCGGCUAACUCCGUGCCAGCAGCCGCGGUAAUACGGAGGGUGCAAGCGUUAAUCGGAAUUACUGGGCGUAAAGCGCACGCAGGCGGUUUGUUAAGUCAGAUGUGAAAUCCCCGCGCUUAACGUGGGAACUGCAUUUGAAAC